rnacentral:rRNA from 1 species
CCAGACUCCUACGGGAGGCAGCAGUGGGGAAUAUUGGACAAUGGGGGGAACCCUGAUCCAGCGACGCCGCGUGAGUGAAGAAGUAUUUCGGUAUGUAAAGCUCUAUCAGCAGGGAAGAAAGAAAUGACGGUACCUGACUAAGAAGCCCCGGCUAACUACGUGCCAGCAGCCGCGGUAAUACGUAGGGGGCGAGCGUUAUCCGGAUUCACUGGGUGUAAAGGGAGCGUAGACGGCCGUGCAAGCCAGGAGUGAAAGCCCGGGGCCCAACCCCGGGACUGCUCUUGGAACUGUGCGGCUGGAGUGCGGGAGGGGCAGGCGGAAUUCCUGGUGUAGCGGUGAAAUGCGUAGAUAUCAGGAGGAACACCGGCGGCGAAGGCGGCCUGCUGGACCGCGACUGACGUUGAGGCUCGAAAGCGUGGGGAGCGAACAGGAUUAGAUACCCGUGUAA